UACGAAGGGGGCGAGCGUUAUUCGGAAUCACUGGGCGUAAAGCGUGCGUAGGCGGUUUUGUAAGUUAGGAGUGAAAGCCCAAGGCUCAACCUUGGAAUUGCUCUUAAAACUGCAAGACUCGGAUUCGGGAGAGGAUAGCGGAAUUGUCAGUGUAGCAGUGAAAUGCGUAGAUAUUGACAGGAACACCAGUGGCGCAAGCGGCUAUCUGGACCGACAUCGACGCUGAGGCACGAAAGCGUGGGGAUCAAACAGG
rnacentral:rRNA from 1 species